UCCGGCUCUCCCUCACUCCGUGUUGGGUUACAGUGACAAGGCCCCUGUCUGAACCAAGACUUUCAGAAAGAUAAUAUUACAGCAGGUGCAAAUCAGUUUCCUCCUACAAGGACUGAUAUUAGCAGAGAUAUCCCAGAACGAACUGAGUUGACCUAAAUGAGAUUUCUGCAGUAUUUUGUGUUGGCCUAUCAACUAAAGUCCUGAAGGAAAACAUUGAAGUGUGUCACUGUAAAAAGAG